rnacentral:rRNA from 1 species
GGCAGUAACACGUGGGUAACCUGCCCAUAAGACUGGGAUAACUCCGGGAAACCGGGGCUAAUACCGGAUAACAUUUUGAACUGCAUGGUUCGAAAUUGAAAGGCGGCUUCGGCUGUCACUUAUGGAUGGACCCGCGUCGCAUUAGCUAGUUGGUGAGGUAACGGCUCACCAAGGCAACGAUGCGUAGCCGACCUGAGAGGGUGAUCGGCCACACUGGGACUGAGACACGGCCCAGACUCCUACGGGAGGCAGCAGUAGGGAAUCUUCCGCAAUGGACGAAAGUCUGACGGAGCAACGCCGCGUGAGUGAUGAAGGCUUUCGGGUCGUAAAACUCUGUUGUUAGGGAAGAACAAGUGCUAGUUGAAUAAGCUGGCACCUUGACGGUACCUAACCAGAAAGCCACGGCUAACUACGUGCCAGCAGCCGCGGUAAUACGUAGGUGGCAAGCGUUAUCCGGAAUUAUUGGGCGUAAAGCGCGCGCAGGUGGUUUCUUAAGUCUGAUGUGAAAGCCCACGGCUCAACCGUGGAGGGUCAUUGGAAACUGGGAGACUUGAGUGCAGAAGAGGAAAGUGG